AUAAAACAGUUAUGCACAAUCGAAAAACUCGGAAACUAGCCAAAUAAGGAACUAGCAAAAGAAUAUCUUACUACUCUCCUUGGGACAGCAGAAGUCGCGCUGGCUGACCGCCGUCACCCUCCACCUCCCAAGGUCUACAAGGCCUCGCUAGGCCUCACUCCCCCACACAGCAGAACCGACAGCAGGGAACCUACACCUUCAGAGCCACCAGAAGGCAAGAGAGUGAAGGCCUCUCCUCCCUUCUUUAUAACCCUGGCCUAUGUAAAAACCAUAGGGAAUACUGGGCCAGGUUUAAGUCCAUAAUUGUAUCAAAACCUGCUUCCCAUCCACUCUGUCCAGUUCCUAGUAUUUAAGGACUUGGCUGCACACUGGAUUUUAGUCCUAGAAACACAGUAGUAAGAGCAAAUUCAGCAGAUUAUGCUGGGCACGGGAAGACAGUGCUACCACUCUGGUGUUUCAAAACAUAAGAGAACAGUACAGUUUGAGCGUCAAGCCUUCCAGUGGCCUUCUUCAGGAUAUAGCAUGAUUGUCAAGUCAAGUGAAACUAAUUUGAUUUUAAAUAUAAUACCUGUCCUGCAUCUGAUGUUAACAAUUCUCUCAUCUUGUAAGGAGAAUAGAAUGGUAAUGGAAUGGUAA